CCUUGCCCAUACUAGAAAGGUGGUUAACAUGAAGUAAGCGAGCUGGACUUAAAUUCACCCAUUUUUUUUAUGUGGAUAUAGGGCAUAUAGUUUUGACCUGAAUUAGUCCAUGUUAAUUAAAUAUAACCUAAACAUUGCUUUUUCUAGGACAGGGCUGACACAUUGCCUACAGACCUUUCACUGUCUGACCUUUAGUACACACAGGAUGUGACACUCUAUUUAUUUCAUCUUACUCCAUUUUUCCACAGGACUUCUGAUUCUUCCAAUGUAUCUGUGAUGGAUAGAGAAUGAAGCAGGCCUGUGUCACAUACAAAGCAGGAAGAAGUGGAGUAGUCUUGGGGUUAAGGAAUUCCACACAGGGAAUUGAAAUCGGAUUUCUGCGAAGUCAGCUGAAGUCAAUAAAACCUGCAGAUGUGGGGCUGCUCUGAGAAUUCAAGGUCUUGGGUGGUUGGCACUGUACAUUGAGUACCAGAGGUGAAGAAAGAAAGUCUUAAAAUGUCUGA
rnacentral:lncRNA from 1 species